GUAGGUGGCAAGCGUUGUCCGGAAUUAUUGGGCGUAAAGCGCGCGCAGGCGGUCCUUUAAGUCUGAUGUGAAAGCCCACGGCUCAACCGUGGAGGGUCAUUGGAAACUGGAGAACUUGAGUACAGAAGAGGAAAGCGGAAUUCCACGUGUAGCGGUGAAAUGCGUAGAGAUGUGGAGGAACACCAGUGGCGAAGGCGGCUUUCUGGUCUGUAACUGACGCUGAGGCGCGAAAGCGUGGGGAGCAAACAGGGAUUAGAUACCCUGGUAGUCCACGCCGUAAACGAUGAGUGCUAAGUGUUAGGGGGGUUUCCGCCCCCUUAGUGCUGCAGCUAACGCAUUAAGCACUCCGCCUGGGGAGUACGGCCGCAAGGCUG
rnacentral:rRNA from 1 species